GUUACUGAGUUUUAAUUAUUCAAUAUAUAUUUAUUAUUUCAUAAUAUGUAAGAACAUAUAAUACAUAAAAUAAUUUUUAUAUAUAAUGUUUAUCCCGCGCAAGGCGCGGAUCUUAAUCUAGUUAUAUAAAUAUUUUUAUGUAAACUAAAAAUUAAGUUUUAAAUUGAAAUAUAAGAUUUUAGAUUGUUGGACUAACUAAAAUCACGUAUUAAAAUCAAACAUAAAAGCCAAACUUCUGAUUGUUAGAGUUCCCAUGCCCUUUUUUUCUUCUUAAUACUGUACAGUAGAUUUAACAUUCAAAUUUUCAUGAACUCGAGAAAUAAAAUUUUAGAAUCUUAAAUUAUGUUAUAUACAACACUUAGAUUCUUUUAUAAUUUAUACAGCCCUAGUUAAGUCAUUCACUCAAUGCACUUGGAGCUUCCUUUAAGUACAUUUUAUCAGUACAUAGAUUAAUCAAAUCUUUCACCUACCAAAUAGUCAAUUGUUUUCUUAGAGUAAAAAUGAUCGAUGCUAUCCAUUGGCAUGUAUGUAUAUAUUGAUGAGACUCGGACAUAAAACUCCCACACAUAACUUGAAGUCAUCAUUAAACAUAUAUCCACUUCUUUUCCUUUUCUUUAAUUAAUCUGCACAUAAGGGAAAGAGACUGGAGUGGAAAUGGAUUGAAGUUAGAGUUUACAACUAUACUGUAUGUAGUAUUUCUAUACUAUUUAUCAAUUUACUAUUAGUUCUAUACUAUUUUUAUAUGAUACUCAACUUUAUUAAUUUACGUAUGUGAAGAACAUAUAUUAUGUGUUGUGCAAAUGGUUUAUACUAUGUAUUGUACAUGAAAGAAAAAACCUUCACUUAUGUUAUAUUGUUGUCUAGUCGUUUACAUUGUUGUUCCUUCCUCUGUCUAAGAAAUGAAGUUUAUGUAUAUAAUAAUUAACUGAAUGAUGACGUGUUAUAUGCAUCAUUUGGCUCCUCUGUCUAAGAAAUGAAGUUUAUGUAUAUAAUAAUUAACUGAAUGAUGACGUGUUAUAUGCAUCAUUUGGCUCACCGUCAUGUUAUUUGAGUAAAAUUAAAAAUGAUGACUCGCACGACUAUGCUAUAUUCAAAGAGGAAAUUUUAGUAUGGUACAAUCUUUUUUUUUCCUGGCCACAUGUGUUAUAAUUGUGAACUUCAUCAACUAUCUUAUUUUACUGUAUACAUUCUCUAUACAUAAGGUUAAAAACAGCAAAUAAUAAAAAAAUAUUUUUUACUUAAUAAUGUCAAAAUCAUAUCUAUAUUUUUAAGAGUCAUUUAGAGUCAUUUGCAAAUGUAUGCAGAAUUCGAAAGUAUUUGCAUAUGUGGUUAUUUAUUAUGUAUGAUCCAACGAUAUUAUAAUCAUCAUGCGAUUCAGUGUAUCUAUUGAUGUAACAUGAUACAUUUUACGUUUGUAGUACUCAGUUUAUAUAUUUUCAAUAUUUGUCA